GUGGUAUUUUGACUAUACAAAGGUAUUGUAAUAAGAUUUUAAUUGAAUGCUAAAAGAAUGGAAAUUUAAAAAAAAACUUUUUUAAAAAUAAAAAUUGAAUUUUUUUUAAUUUGUGCAAAAACAAUUAUAUUUAUUAAAGACAAGAAGACCCUAAGAAUUUAAGAUUUUACAAUUAAAAAGUUUUUUUUUAAAAUCUUGAUUGGGGCGAUCAAAAAAUAUUAAUAACUUUUUAAAAUUUAAAUUGA
rnacentral:rRNA from 1 species